rnacentral:snoRNA from 1 species
UUUUAUAUGAUGAUUAAUUAACUUUCGCCCCUAUCUGAAAGUUUUGGAAACUUCUCAUGUUGAUUGCGAAUGAUUGGUCUUACUGAUUAUAAUUU